rnacentral:misc_RNA from 1 species
GGGAAGAGAAAAUAUUGAAAAAUCGAUGAUGAUAUGACAAAUUUUCUUAUUAAAAAAACUUUUGAAAAUUUUGUGAGAAUUGGCUUAAAAAAAUGAGUUAUAUUGCUAAUAUUUUACUUAAUGUUCAGAUAUUUUUAGGUAACAAUUGAAGUUUAGCAAAAAGUCUGUUGACAAUGAAUGAGAUUAACCCAACUUUUGAAGUUCUAUGACAGCGAAUGAAAUUAACCAUACACUUAAGCUUCAUGUCAUAAUGGAGCAACCUUACUGUUAUACCAAGGCUUAUGCUCACUAAGCAAUCAAAAUGUUGAUGAAAAACUACCAUAGAAAAAAAUUAACAAACUUUUCUCUAUUAAUGAAUAUUGGAGGGGCACUCCAUGGUAUGACAGUAAUUGUUGCCAACAUAUUGCUAAUCUAGAGCACCUUCUAAACAUUAAAUGAGU